rnacentral:rRNA from 1 species
GACGAACGCUGGCGGCGUGCUUAACACAUGCAAGUCGAACGGUAAGGCCCUUCGGGGUACACGAGUGGCGAACGGGUGAGUAACACGUGGGUGAUCUGCCCUGCACUUCGGGAUAAGCCUGGGAAACUGGGUCUAAUACCGGAUAGGACCACUGCCUGCAUGGGUGGUGGUGGAAAGCUUUUGCGGUGUGGGAUGGGCCCGCGGCCUAUCAGCUUGUUGGUGGGGUGAUGGCCUACCAAGGCGACGACGGGUAGCCGGCCUGAGAGGGUGACCGGCCACACUGAGACUGAGAUACGGCCCAGACUCCUACGGGAGGCAGUAGUGGGGAAUAUUGCACAAUGGGCGCAAGCCUGAUGCAGCGACGCCGCGUGAGGGAUGACGGCCUUCGGGUUGUAAACCUCUUUCAGCACCGACGAAGCGCAAGUGACGGUAGGUGCAGAAGAAGGACCGGCCAACUACGUGCCAGCCGCCGCCGUAAUAC